UACAGAGGUCCCAAGCGUUGUUCGGAUUCACUGGGCGUAAAGGGUGCGUAGGUGGCGCCGUAAGUCAGGUGUGAAAUCUCGGGGCUCAACCCCGAAACUGCACUUGAUACUGCGGUGCUCGAGUACUGGAGAGGAGAUUGGAAUUUACGGUGUAGCAGUGAAAUGCGUAGAUAUCGUAAGGAAGACCAGUGGCGAAGGCGAAUCUCUGGACAGUUACUGACACUGAGGCACGAAGGCCAGGGGAGCAAACGGG
rnacentral:rRNA from 1 species